ACUCUCUAACGGUCUGAAACACUGCAUUUCCUCAGGGGUGCAAGAGAUAUUCCAAGCACCCUGUCUAAAUAGUGGGGCUCAGAGGCUGGGAUAGGGCACAAAGAGAAACUUAUGUUUAGGAAGAUAUCCUGGCUUGGCAGACUGAGUAGUGCCUCUUCAGCUCUAACACUUUCCAAGUUGUGCUCAGAGAGAACAACUAUUUCUACACAAUGCCCUAUGGAUCCUUCCUGAACCCAGGGAAGCAUCAAGGGUACUGAAGAGAUAAAUCAGUCAACAUGUCUGAGCCAAAGCUACAUCAUCUAAACACUUUCCUCCUUUUCAGGACCUAACUUCGAGGCUAGAGCUUAUGAAGGGCUUGCCUAGAAUCCAUCACGGGAGCAAGACUCUGGCUCAGCGAGCGAGCGUGCUGGGGCCCUGGUCCAUUCUCAGCCACUGGUACAGACCCUCUGUGUUUGUGCCUGUUAAGACUUCCAGCCAGGAAGAAAAUGACAAGAUGCAAUGCUUGUCCUUUGCUCAGAGAGAAUCCAGACAGCUCCUGGAGGCACAUGGAAGAUUAACAACAUAAGGAUGCCAACUCACUGGCACUGUGAGUCUUCUGAAACGCUUUCUGUGGAAGAAGCAGAUGUAUCAAUCUAGCUUUGUGUCGGGUUUCAUCCUUCUUAAUGCAGGAAGGAGGGAGCAACCACUACUACCUCUUACUUCACUAGAACUGCAGUUACACAAAUCACCCAAGAAGGAGCCAUUCAGAAAGGGCUAUCUCUGAGAAAGCAACAUUCUGAGGAGAAAGACUAGUAACAGUGUUGGUUUUUUUUUUAUUAUUAUUAUUAGAAAAACUGAAUCUAAGGCAUACACACUUUUUUGGUCCUUCUUUCUUUUCUUUUCUUUUCUUUUCUUUUCUUUUCUUUCUUUUCUUUUUGUUGGGGGGGGGGGGGUUGACAGGGUUUCCUGGCCGUCCUGGAACUCACUUUGUAGACCAAGCUGGAAUCUCAAAGAGAUCCACCUGCCUCUGCCUUCUAUACUGGGAUUAAAGAUGUGUCUCACCAUGCUAAUUUAAAACCAUCUUACACUUCUCUUCCAUUUGACUUGCUUAAAAAAAAAAAAAGACUGAAAGAUAUUCCCACCCCACCCCCCAUACGCAUGCACCACCCCGAGCCAGAUGUUUGGUGGUGUCAACUAUAGCAGUGGUUCUCAACCGUCCCAAUGUUUUGACUCUGUAUUAAAAUACAGUUUCUCAAAUUUUGGUGACUCCCCAAACAUAAAAUUAUUUCAUUGCUACUUUAAAACUGUAAUUUUGCUACUCUUAUGAAUCAUAAUGUGAAUGAAUAUUUGAUAUGCGUGCAACUCCUGUGAAAGGCAGCCGAACCCCCCCCCCCACACACACACACACAGGGGUUGAGACCCACCGGUUGAGAACUAAGGACCUAGACCAAUGACAUCAUCCAGGUUUUGGGUUCUUGGCAAGGGUCACAAAUAUUGUUCACAUUGAGUUUCCUGCAAAGGCUCUAAAGACAGGAAACCAGCCCUGUGCCUCAGUCCCUUGCCUGAUCUGAGCCAUCCUGUCGGGGCAAAACAAAGACUUUUUGUGUUUUUUUCCUUAAACACACACACAAUUUACCCACACUUUUAAUGAGCACCUUAAUUACAAGCUAAAGAAUUAGCUAUAUUUACAGAUGACCUCAUGCUUGCUGUAAUUAGCAAUGUGAAAGAGCUGGCACAUCCCCAUGCUGGUUCUUGCUCCCCCCACCCCACCCCCACCCCCACCCCAGUUCAGGUUCAUUAGGAAGUUUGACCUCCCAAGACAAGUCGCUCUGGUCCAGAGAGCCCCCCACAGAGAGGAUUGGCCCUCCCUCUCGACUUCAGGAGGGUAUGACUUGCCUGGGAUAAUGAUGCAGGAGAGGUGACAGAUUUCUGAGGGCCCCACUGUAAAGGCUGACAAGUUUUAAUUAACACUGAAGAUAAUUUAACCCUGGCACAGGAAAGGGUAAGAAAGCACUCGUCUCCGAGGCAAGCGCUGGGAUGUACAUGGUGCCCAUGCUUCUCCCACUGCACUAAGUGUGUGCUUAGUGCUCUCCUGAUGUGGAAGCCCCGCACUGAAGGUGCCGCUGACUCAGGCUCUUACUUUCCAUACACUUUUUUUGUGCAAGAGGAGUGUCAAUAGCCUGAUUUGGAAAGUUCGAGCAGGGUGGCCCUCCUUCAGGGUCCAGCCUGCUGCCAACAAUAGGAGCUCCAGAGAGUGCCUGUGCCUGUGCCUGUACAGCCACCCCCACCCUCACCCCCAGCCCCCAGUCAGUUGUCACUCUGCUGUAACAUUUUCCAAAUUUGCUGUGGGCCUGCGCCCUGUUAGGGGAGAGGCUGGGAGGCGGACAUUCUCCUCAUUCUUUUCCCUUAUUAGGUUGUGGAUUUGAUUGCUUUGGGGGGGAUAGGGGCUAAGUUGAGGAAUGGCAUCAGGAAGUGACCCCAGGAAGGGGGGGCUGGGAAGGAGGAAGGGAGAUGAGCAGCAGGCAUGAGCUUUUUUUUGGAGGGGGGGUGGCAGCUCUGCUAAGCCCUCUAGAGCCCCUUGCCCUGGGUUGACAUCUGAGCAUAGGCCCCAAGUGAACCUUGUGGCCCUGUGUGGCAGCCUUUCGGGGCAGUUACUUGAGGGUUAUCAGUGGGAAACUUUCCUGUUUCUACAUCCCUUAGAAGAAAUGGCUGCUGACUACAAGUGAGCGAGGGGGGAGGUGUGCUUCUAACAUGAGGUCAUAGAAGUUUUUUUAUUUUUUAUUUUUUCUGCUUUUGCUUUGAAGAAAGGGGACUGGAGGGAAACCUGGGGAAAAGACUCUCAGUUGACAGCAAACUUGGCAAGCUAUUGCACUGGUCAUGGAGAAAUCUUGCUGAUACUGUCUGUAGCUUAUCCAGACACAAAACUGUUCAGGGCUCAACUCUGAAACAAGCAACCACCUUCCAGAUAAUGAGGCCCAGAUGGAGAGGGCUAGGCCAUGCCACUUGCAGCCCAGUGAGUUACCACUUGAUGGAGGGUGCUCAUUUGAAGUCACAGGCGUGGUUUAGGCUCUAGAGCUCCCUGGGGGAGAACUAGAGGAAAGGGGUGGUGCUGGGUUUUCUACUGUGCUGCCAUUUCAACAGCACUCUCAACCCCCUUGAAGAGGAGGCUAAAACAGCAAGCACUGCCUGGAUGUAGGAUGGAGGUUUACAGCCUGCUUCUAGAUCACUAUUUGUCCUGGUUAAUACUCAGAAUCAUUUCUGAAGGAAAGGGAUGCCCUUUCCAACACAACACUGAAACUUAACCCCUGGUCCCUGCCCAAGGGCAAAUGGCAGAAAAGUAGCAGGAGUGGGUGUGGAGUCCAGUUCCAAUUUUUCCCUAGAACAGCUUGGUGCUUCCCCUCCCACCACAUAUCUCACUGUCUCCUACUUGAUGCAAGGAUAAAGUGUGGACUGGGAUAUCACAAGUGCCUACCCACAGGUAUUCACGCCUCCCAGAGUGCAAACGCUGAGGUGAGGUACCAUCUGGGCUGCUUGUGUCUAGUGAGGAACAGAGAGCGAUCAACCAACCAACCCGCUUGCCCAGCAAGCAUCCCCACAGAAGCCUGGGUCCAUUCAAUAAAUAUCUUCUUGGGUGCAUGUGUGUACAUGUAUGUGUGUGUGUGUGUAUUUUUUUUUUCACUAUAUAACACAGGCUAGCACUGAACUCUGGAAAUCCCUGCCUCUGCCUCACAAGUGCUGGGAUUACAGGCAUAUUCCACCACUCCUGGUUCAUGCAAAAGUAUUUUGCAAUUUAUGUCCCAGGCACUUCUUUUCAAAAUGGAGGGUUAAACAAUAUAUUCUCCAACUACAAGCAUGACUCUCAAGUCCUCCCUUGAUAGAACAGUGAUCUCCCUAACUUCUCUGCUGUUUAUGAAAGGGAGAAGGGGUACCUCAUAAAGACCAUCAGGCAGCUUUGACCUGAGUAGGUAGAAAAGGAAAGAGAAACUGGCUGUUUCUCCACCCUCUGGACCUAAUGGCACCGGGCUACAGACUAUGUCAAAGCAGGCAGUAAGGGGCCACCUGCCCCGCCCCUGCUGGAUCACCCCACAGCAAACUAUUAAUCCCAGGUAGAGGAAGAGGAGGAGAGGAGCACUUCAGGCAACUGCAGCCCUUUCUGCUGGAGGGGAGCUGAGGUAUGAGCUUCAUGCAUCACCCGCAAAGGGGAAGACGCCACUUGGACAAAGACACAGCUAGUGACGCUAGGUAUAUCUCACAGAGGCCACAACACUGACCAAAGAUGUCAGUUUAUGAAGCUCACCAAGGGCACUGCAGUGUCUGGGUCACACAGUUGGCCAUGAGCAUCUGAAUAAAGAAGGUAUUUAAAACCAAACCAAACCAAAAACCAAGCAAACAAACAAACAAGUCAGUCAAGUAUUUCCUGGGAUUCCAUAAGCCAACUCUAUUACUGGCACCUGAAAGUUUAGCUUGGCAGUAAAAAUAAGUCUUAGGAUAGAGUACUUCUGGGCACUGCAGGGGCAAUCUGUCACCUAUAGAAUGCUCCAGAGGCCAGCCUGCCAAAAUCAAGCCUCACUCAUCUUUGAGAGUGGCAGGCAGACCGGCAAGUAACUAAGGUUAUGUGGCUAUCUGCACCAAGAGGCAGUGUGUGGCCUUGCACAGGAUGUGGAGAUAGUAUUGGACAUACAAAAGAGGUGUUCCGGGCUGGCGAGAUGGCUCAGCUCUUCCGAAGAUCCUGAGUUCAAUUCCCAGCAACCACAUGGUGGCUCACAACCACCCGUAAUGAGAUCUGAUGCCCUCUUCUGGUGUGUCUGAAGACAGCUACAUUGUACUUAUUUAUAAUAAAUAAAUCUUUGGGCCACAGGGAGCAGGGACUGAGGGAGCAGAGAGAGGCCGAACCCUAUAAAGGAUGACCACUACAAGUCUGACGCCCGCCCCAGCUACAGAGUAAGUUCUAGAAUACAGUUAGGUUAGCUGUCUAAAAAUCAAAGGCAGCUGGAACAGACCCCUACCUGGGUUUGGCCACUUACAACAUUCUACCUAUAAAAAAUAAGAGGAUCCCACACGGACUUCAGAGGCUAGGGUCUUGUUACUCAAAGGGUUCCAAACAGCUGAGCUAAAGCAAGCAAGGCACCCGCCUCUAACACCUAGAGAUCCCACACAGACAAUAGUCAUCAGGGGAAGCACUAUUUGAAAGCAGCAGCUAUGCACGUAGGACCCUCCUCCAACUUUGCCCAAAAAAACUUGCCCAAAGCAGUGGUACACAGCCCCCAUCCCCACACUCACCUCCUUUAUGAAAACUUCCAUGACUGACCCCACCUGUCCUUUGUCACCCCUUUCCUCUCCCAAGACAGCUAGAGUACUGUGGACUUGCCGGAGUGCAGUUUAGUGGCCUUCUGAGGUCUCAUGUAGCUUUACUUGCUACCCAGAUACGCUGCGAGCUCCUCAGAGAGCAUGGGUCGGGUCUCCGGUUUCUCUCAUACCCCAAAGGCUCUGCAUGGAGCUCCACUCAGUAGAGAGGCCCUGCAAGGGCUGGUGUUCGGCCCUGGCGGUCAUGUUUCUACCUAAGUACUAGACUCCAGGGCCCAUGGAGCCCCAACUCAAGUUACAUAAGAAGCUGGUUGGCUAUAAAAUGCAAACCUACUCUGUAGCCAGUGGCCCCUCAUUUUGCUACCUAAGUGACCACUUUCAAGAAACCUUUCUCUAUUUUACAGUUUAAUGGAAACACAGUACCCUCCCCCCUGAAAGACUUUUCUAUCUACAGCAGUAACCUGGAGCAGGCUCAGCUGAACAUAAAUGUAUAAUAAACCACCCACCAUGGAAACUAGCUUCAGCCUGCGUGAGGGGGAACACACAAUGGACUCUGACACAUUCGCCUUUCGCUGUACCCUUUCUGUCCACUGAGUCAGUUUUAUCAAGAGGAAGUUUAGUUUCAUAUUUGAAGGGAUAAAGAUACUCACUCUCUCUCUCUUUCUCUCAGCUACCCUGCCAUACAGCUACUGAAAGAUUUAAUAAGUCACAUAGGUACUCUGCCAACAGCAAACACCGACCACAUCAUCUUCUUUUUGACUGAGGCAGCCAGCUGCCUGGGCCACUAAGACAGAGAACUGACUCCAUUGCUCCUUUAGCUUCUGCUGACAGGGAGAUGUUUGCUACAGGAUCUCUGGAGAGCAGGACAAAGCCAAACCCACGCUCACAGAGUAUACACCAACUUACCUUCUCCCUCUGAUAUAGUGUGCACAAAAGCAAGAGUGUUCACUGAGAGCCCCAAGCUCUCUCUCUGCUCCUCCCUCCAGGGAGUAAAAGCCACACAACUAGUCUGACAAGCUGAGUCUUCAAACAACCAUGGGUCCAGUGAGACUACAUUGUCCUGCACUGGCUUCCAACAGGAUACAAAAAGCAGAAAUGCUGAGAUGUAAUCACCUAAAAGUCUACCUCCUUCUUUGAACUAGAGUAGCCCUAGAUGCACCUGACCAGAGGAAACAGGAAGAGAUAAAGAGUGGGUAGGAGAGGGGUUUACAGAGGAGAGGGCCUAGAAGAGCUGGACUUGAAAGAUGGGUAAAUCAGGGUGAUUGUUAAAUGACCUGAACCCCAGAAUCCGCAGGGUGGGGAGCUAGGUCAAGAACAGCCAGGGCUACACUAUAUAGAGAAGCCCUGUUUUGAAAAAAAAUCAAACAAAAAAUAAUCAGACUUCUGACAGGGUAUGGUGACAUAUGCCUGAUUCCUAGCAGUUGAAAGGUGAACGUAAGGUAAGAGUGAAUGACACAGCCAGGCGUGGUGGAGCACGCCUUUAAUCUCAGUACUUGGGAGGCAGAGGCAGGCGUAUUUCUGAGUUCGAGGCCAGCCUGGUCCACAGAGUGAGUUCCAGGACAGCCAGGGCUACACAGAGAAACCCUGUCUCGAAAAACAAAACAAAAACAAAAACAAACAAAAAAAACAAAGAGUGAAUGAAUGACACAGUGAGACCCUGUCUCAAAAGCCAACAGUAGGAACAACAUCAUACAGGCUUUAGGCUUAAAAGGGGCAUUGAACACUAAGGCGGAAAAGACACUUUGUGGCGUCUCACCAGGUAUAAACAGUCUCUUGAUGGGAAGGGUGUUGGACCUGACCGCGUGAUAAAAGUUCGGUGCAGUCAUACCACAAAGCAUGAGCAUACAGUGCUGUAAAACUCCAGACUCCAAAGUCACCCAAGCUUUAAUCAGACACAGGUGCGUACCGCAUUGACGAUCACAGAGAUAAUUGAAGCCUUUGUCUGCUUUACUGUAGUGCAGUUUGGGGGUUCCCACUUUAGAAGUCAGUUCUGGUUUGGCUUGUCCAAGGAGCCCAGGAGGAAAAGGCUGCAAUGUCCAGGUUCCUCACCACGUUAUCAGCACUUGAGGAGACAAAGCUCUGAGAUCCCUGAGCCAGGUGGACUCUGACACCUUCCCCACUGUAGGGAACAGCUAAGCCACCACUGGAGGAAAGCUUCAACCUUCCCUCCAGCUCCAGAGCUAUUCCCAAUCUCCAGGCUAUGGUAGAGCUUAGGAACAAGAGCAUAAACCAGAGAGCCAUACCUUUGCUCGACUCUGGCCUGUAUCAGUUUACCUCAUGGCUACAUUGAUUAUUUGAGCUAAACACAAUCAUUUUCAUUUCCUUUUUUGAGACAGUCUGUCUCUCUUGCUCACUUGAACUUAUGAUCCUUCUGUCUCAAACCCCUUGAUUAAAGAUGGGUGUUAUUCAACCCAGUCCCUGGUUCCAUUGCAUGUACUAUGAGGUUAAAAUCUACUUCAGAGGAUUAUGUGCUGACAGUCCACAAUAUACCAGAGUAAAUUGCUAGCUGACAUUAGUUUAUAGCACAGAACCCAAGCUAUCUGGUUUACUGUGUGUGUCCACACUAACCUUUGCAGGCACAUGUAGAGGCCAGAGGCUGACACUAUCAUGUCUUCCUCUAUUGCUUCUCUGCCUGUUUUCCUGAAGAGUAUAUAUGUGAACCUCAUCCAUCUGAGUGCCCAGAGGUCAGAAGAGGGUAUUAAAUUUCAUGGAACUGGAGUUAUAGGCCAGUUUGAACUGCCUAGUAAAUACUAGGAAUCAAACCCUAGUCCUCUACAAGAGUACAGGCUCUUAACCAAGGUUAUGUCUCUAGCCUUAUUUUUGAGACAGGCUCUCUCGCUAAGUUGGAAGUCGCUGCCCUGACUACACUGGCUGGCCAGCAAGCCCUCCAAAUCUGCCUGUCUUCCUGCACAUAUGUACCUUGUGGUUCCAGACACGUGUUGCCAUGGCUGGCUUUUACAUGUGCUAGGGACCCUAGAUCAGGUCCUGGGCAGCAAGCACUUUGCUCACUGAACCAUAUCCCCAGGCCCCUAGCUUCCUUAUGUACAUGUGUGGUGUCCCUGUCCCCACCAACCUCCAAGGCAACUGAGAACAUAUAGAAUGAGAUGGAAGAAGGCCUGCAUCUUUUUAGUCCUCCAACUUCCUUAGUUUAGUGGUCACACACCAAUCCCAAAACAGUCCCCAGAGGCCCUGAACUCUUGACAAAACUGAACCCACUAGAGCCUGAACUGCCACUCCUCAGAAAUCUCAUUUUCCAACUAUGCUUGGAAUGUUUGAUAGGAACAGAAAUUUAUUUUUAGGCAAGAAAAGUUGUCUCCUAAGCUAACCCUACAGUCUUAGUGCUAGCAGGCCGUAUUUGGCAAGGGUUGGCUUGGGCUUGUUUAUCAAAAGGCCCAGAAUUUUCUUAAGUCUACGGUAGCUGCUCAGGGAAUACAGUGGCCUGUGGGUUUUCUAUCCCACUGAGUCUUGUGGUACUCCUGUGUUGCAGUAGAAUCCAACUGACCAUUCCACAUCUUCCCCAGCUUGGGGCCAAGAUUCAUUAACCAGGCAUCCAGAAAGUGUUCAGAGUUAUCAGUGUACUGGAUUUUCUUCCCUCAGUUGACCCCAUCACUGGGUUAUAAAAGCUGGGCAUGAUGGUCUAUAAUACCAGCUGAGACAGAAGGAUGACAAGUUUUAGAGGCCAGGCUUGACUAUGUGGUACCUGGCCAGUCAGGGUUUUGUACUAGCGGCUUCCUCAAAGUGAGGAGAGGUUGGCAUGCUAGGGAUGUGGCACAGGGGCCGUCUGCAGAACAACCAAAGGCCCUGGACCUAAUUUCUAAUAUCAAAAAAAAAGUUUUAAGAAGUGGCCAAGGCAGGUGAGUGUGUUGGGGGUUGGGUAUGUGCCCACACACCUUUAAUCCCAAACACUUGGAAAGUAUGGCCACAGACAGAUCUGAGCUCUGCGUCAGCCUGAUCCACAUAAUGAGUUCCAAGUUAGUUAGUACUACACAGUAAGACCCUGUCUGAAAAGGGGGGGGGGGUGGUGACUAAGAAGUCCCUCCACUCACUGGUGUGUCUAUUUCCUGACCACCCCACCAAGAACCAUAGGAAUGGGUGACUAAAGCCAACAUCUCUGAAAAAGACAUCUUGAUACAGGCCGUUCUGUUUUACAGAAAGUCAAAUCUACCACAGUCUUGGCAGCACAGCUCAAAUGAUCCAAAAAAAAAAAAAAAAAAAAAGUAACUGCCUCACAACCCCAGCGAUGUUUACCGUCUGGAUACCUUCCAGGACUUGAAAAUCUGAAUCAUGACUGCUUCACAGACAGCCUGCAAGAAGGGCCAAUUCAUCAGACUGCCCUUGAACCAGCCUGGCAAGUCACUGCUUCCAGACAUUUUGAAUUUUGAAACUGGGUUUACUUCAUAGGCCCAAACUAGAAGAUUAUGUUAAGUCUUAAAGUUAAAAAAAGAAAGGACAAAAAGAACAAAGAAACCCCAGCCUUUCCCAAAGCAAGCCAUGUCGGCACCAGCCAGGGCCACACUUCUCACAAGGAUUUUAGUUUCAUCAGGAAUUUAAUGAGCCAUGUAUCUUAAAGGAAAGGUUGGGGGUGUUCUCAGAGCUGGAAAGAUGUGGAUUUUUAAAAAGUUUUUAUUUUUUAAUAGUGCUCUUUAUUUGCUCUUGGGGUCUGAUGAGAACUUUAGAAUUUUAAAUUUGUGUUUGUAAAAAACAGGCAAAAGAUGAAGACACACAUGGAGUGGGGGGGGGGGGUGUUUAGUAGCUCAGGGGUAAAGCUGUUCCUUAACACAUGUGAGGUCCUGGGUUUGACCCCCAGCACUGAGACAAUAAAAGGCCACAUAGCUGAAAUUCCAACUCUAAAAGCCUAGAGAAAAAGACCCUAGAGUGGCUACAAAGGCACCAGCUGCUGUGCAUAUCCCUUAUCAAUAAAGUAGGCUGGCCCAACUUCUCUUCUUGUCAGGGAACACAGCCACUCAUACCCUUCUGGGCAUGGCCACUGUGCAAGACAUGUGGGCAUUUUCCUGUAAGACCACCUGGCAGCAGCUUUUCUGCCCAGGGGCCCCUGGAUUGGGUGCAGCACUCCCCUAAAUAGUAAGCAGACUGUGUUUCCAUGGUGAGAGCAAUUAAAUACCUUCUAUUCACGCCAGAGUUAGUCAGACAAGAGUGCUAAUGUGCUAAUCUAAUCUACACACACACACACACACACAGAGAGAGAGACAGAGAGAGAGAGAGAGAGAGACAGAGACAGAGAGACAGAGAGACAGACAGAGGCAAAGAGAGGCAGAGAGACAGCACCAGUGUCCUGAUGCUGCUGACUGAAGCCAGUUUCCAGGACUGGCUUUGUUUGGCCUUUA